GUAGCUUCCAUAUAUUGAGUGCUAAAUAUGCCAGGCAUGACAUAAGAAGCCCAUUCAAAGCUUUAACAACUCUUUGAGGCCCAUUUUAUUAUUAUUCUCAUUUUAGACGUCAGGAGACUGAGGCUUGGGAAGGUGAAGUUACCAGCCUAAGUUCCCAUGGCUGGAAAGAAGUAAUGCUGAUGUUCUAACUCAUGCUCUUCCAUAGACGUAACCACUGCUGCUCUUGACUGCUCACCAGGCUGCCUCCCACAUGCUGCCAUGUGCUGAGAAGGCAAAUGCUAUCAAAUGGGAUGACCCCAACAUUUGUAGUCAAAGGCCUUCCUUGGCCACUUUCCAGUAUGUGAUCAAUGUGUCAAACUGUUCCUUCACCCUCUGCUGGUAAAAUGGGGAAAAUUAGACUUAUGGGAAAGGAUCAAUAUAAGAAAUAAAUCUGCUUUCUAAGCAGAUUGGUAUAUAACCAGUGCUCAAUUAAUGUUUGUUGCAAUUGAUUCUUGUAUAAUAAAUAUAUAUAUUUGAUAAUAAAAAUAUAUGUAUGUUUUAUAUAGCUUCACAUUAAAUAGCAACUUGAUAACAUCUCAUUUCAUCUGUAAUAGAAACUUGAUAAAAUCCAGGGUUGAAUUUAAGAGUUUAAUUCUUUACUUUGUCUUAUCUUGUACAUAGAUACCCAUGCAUUUGCUUCCAAAUUUAGAGCUCAGUUUCUCAGCUGUGCAUGCACGCAUACGUUGAGGAAGAUGUGAGCACCUGGCCCGGAGCCCCCAGAGCAGGAAACUGAUGGACAGGUGGUUGAACUGAAUCUCAGGCUUGGCAGAGAACUAUGCUACACCCAUUUCCUGCUGCAACCUCUUGUCCACACAGGGUUCCUGCUCUUAGCUGUUGGGGGUUCCUCCCACUUACAGCCCACAGCACUUUACCAUACUCACCUUAAGAAGGAGAAAGUGCUGCUGGCUGUGUAGCUGGGUGGGAAGAUAAGUUGUAUAGGUCCACAGGGAAAAAAAAAAAAAGCAGCAGCAAGAAUCGAGGAGAGAGAAGAGGUACAGUGUGGACCAGAGAAAACCUUGGCUUCCCGGAUAUGUUCUGGAAGCUGAAUGGUCCAAGACUAAGGUGCUGGCAGGUUUGGUGUCUGGAGAGGGCUGCUCUCUGCUUCCAAGAUGGUGCCUUGUUGCUGCAUCCUCCAGAGGAUGAGGAACACUGGGUCUUCACAUGGUGAAAGGGGGAAGGACAAGAGAACCAAAUCCUUCAUAAAGCCCCUUUUAUAAAGGCUUUGAUCUGAUUUACAGGGAGAGAAGCCUCAUGACUUAAUCACUUCUGAAAGACUCCACCUCUUACUAUUAUCAUAUUGGCCAUUAAGUUUCAAUGCUUGAUUGAGGAGAUACAUUUGAACCAUAACAAUCUAUGACUUGCUCUUUCUUUUGCUGUCUCUUCACAUGGUUUCCUCCUUCUCAUGACCUAGGUUUCAGUUCCAAUGUCAUUUUCUCAGAGAAGCCUUUCCUGGCUCCCUUGUUAAGCAACAUCCCUCUUCUCUCUAUAUGAUCUAUCCACAGUGGUUAUGUUCUUCGCACUCAUCAGUGUGUGAAACCAUCACAUUUACUUGUAUAUUGAAUAUUGUCUAUCUCUC
rnacentral:lncRNA from 1 species